GAGCCGCCGUCCCGCCCGCCGCGCCCUUAAAGGGACGGGACGGCGCCGCGCGGGCCCGGGGCGGGCUUGGGGCCGCGGAGUCCUCGGCGGCGCCCCGCGCACACCCCGCACCCGCCCCGCACCCCAGCCCCGGCGCUCACCGCGGCCCCGGCGCGACAGCCACGCGACUUCAUUUGCUCAAAAGGCUGCUGGAAACGCUCCUUGUUCCCCGGGCUCCUUCACGUGUGGCCACACCUCACUGCUGCUCUUGGCUGACGCCCACCAGACGUAUUCCCAGACACGCUGUGGGUCCCCUUCUCCUACCUACACGUGCAGGCGAUGGAUUCCACCACUCCAAGGUGGAGUUUGGGGCAAGUUGAUGGGAAGCCCCCCUGGUCUCACAGAUCUGGGAUGAAAGGCCAAUAGAACCCACAGUGGAAGCAUCAGAGAUGCCAACUAGCAUUUUCUGCUCAUGAGGUGCAAAGAUGCUGCAAGCACAAGCCCCUUCCCAGCCUGUGUGCCAUUGCCCACCCUUGUCUUCUGUCCCAAAGGGCAGUCGACCUCCUCUGUCCCUGUGCCAUGGGAGACACCAGCUUUGUCAUCACCUUCCCUUGACACAGGCUUGAGAUCUAAAUAGAAGGGGAUAAAAAUAGUGUUUGUGUCCAGAUGAUUAAACCAAAGUCCAUAAAACUGCUUGUUUUCCACCAGCUUGCCAUUAGCAGCAGCAGGGCUUUUGCCAUCCCAGUAGUCAGUGGUUGUGUGCUCAAUGCUGUGUGUGGAAAGUAACCCCAGGCAUCAGCAGUAAUGCUGUGCAUCAGUUACUAUCUGCUGGCACGAUAACGAGCCAUAACAUGAUCCUCUAUGUUUAGAAAUAAAUAGUUCAAGCUGCCUCAGAGCUUCUGAGUGGGGAAAACAUAAUAACAGAGGAGUAUGGCACUGCUGGUAGGUGCUCUCCAGGAGCACACAGGUGAGACCAGAGCAUCAGGGGCUGGGCUCACCCCGUGUCCUGCACCAGCCUCCAGCGUUCCCUGACAGAUUGUGCACCUCCAGCUUCUCACAUGUGCAUAAAACCCACUGAGCACUUGGGGCUUCACAUCCCCGGGACCACAUGUCUCAUGGGAAUGAUUGCAUGUGCUAGUUCCAUAAGGGCGCUACAAGGUCAGGACUUGCAGGAGCAGAAAGCACUGUGGUACUGCAGUGGCAAGGUCUGUAGGAACCUAUGUCAUCUCCAAAUUCAUCCUUUUUAUCUGUUCACCCAGAACACCCAAAAUCUUGAGUCUGAAGAUGUUCCUCCUGCUCUUCGAAUUCUUCUUGGUCCUACUGCUUUGAGCAGUGCAGUGAAAUUGAUAAUGGAUACCUGUGCAUGCAGAGGCUGAGGUGUGUUUGUGACUCUGUAGUGAAAGUUUCCAUCUCACGUCCUAUUUGCAGUUCUCCAUUGAACAUCAUUGAUAAAAAGCUAGUUGUUUUCACUUGAUGUUUUUCAGGCCUGGGUUCACCCUCCAGAACUGCUCUUAGUUCCUAAAAAUGAAAAUACGACAUUGUGAGUUAUCCUCCUGUAAGGGCUGUUCUCCUUUUUGUGUUUCUCAUGUUGUUUGUGAGCCUGGAAACACCCUUUUUCUACAUCUUUCACAUGCGCAAGCGUUACUUCCUCUUGCACCUAAUUGCAGAUGUUCCUCAUCGGGAAGUGGCUCAUCCUUAGCAAGACUUUAGGGCACAAAGCAAGGACAGUGUUUUUUCCUGGCUGAGAUAAAAGUCACAUUGCUGUAAGGCUGUCACUUGUAGAACUGAAGGCAUUAGGAAGCAGACUCGUUUCUUCUACCACUCAAUUGCAACAUGAGAAUUUCUGCAGAUUGCCACGUUCGUGAGCAGCAGCAGCAGGGGUUAUUUCCAGCUAAGCCUGUUGAAAUGCUUUUUGAUCAUUUAUAAUCAGGUUCUUCACGGUAAAAACUGAAACAGCAGAAAGAACUUUGCAUCCAAACAACGAUCAACAGACAGCAGGGCAUGAGGAUAGAGUUGGAGCUCCAGAAAUUAGUCUUUUAUUCCGUUGAGCUCUGGUUUUGUUCCUGGUGAGGAGAGUCCCAGACGAGAACAGACAAACCCUCAGGAAACGUCGCUGUCGGUGCAGAUUGGUUUUGGCUGCUCUGCUCUUUCUUUGUGUGCUGCUGUGGUUAUGGGACGGCCUGGGACACCUCCCAUGAGUAUGAAAGGUGGCCAAAAAGCAGAGGUCAAGCCUGAAAUAACAGAGGACAGUGUGCUCUUCAACUGACAGCUUUUAAUGUGAGAACAGUCAUUCAGCACUGGCAUUUCUGCUGCACUGAUUGCCAUUAGUGUCAUCCUUGUGGGAACAAUAAAUUCAUUGCAAACCUUGAAUUAGGGAUCUGUCGUAA